AAAAAGUAUUCGAUUUGGAACGGACCCCUAUUGUUUGGUUUGAGCAACAUGGUGACAUCAGUGAAGAGGACCCGCUCCCUAUGUAGAUAUGAAGGGCUCAUUCCAAGCUAAC